UCAAUUGAGAGUUUGAUCCUGGCUCAGGAUGAACGCUGGCGGCGUGCCUAACACAUGCAAGUCGAGCGAGAAGCUUCCAAGCGAGAUUUCGGUCGAGCGAAGGAGCGGAAAGCGGCGGACGGGUGAGUAACGCGUAGGCAACCUGCCCCAUACUCGGGGACAGCCUCGGGAAACCGGGAUUAAUACCCGAUAAAGCGAUUUCGUCGCAUGACGGAAACGCCAAAGAUUCAUCGGUAUGGGAUGGACCUGCGUCCGAUUAGCCUGUUGGUGAGGUAACGGCUCACCAAAGCAACGAUCGGUAGCCGACCCGAGAGGGUGAUCGGCCACAUUGGAACUGAGACACGGUCCAAACUCCUACGGGAGGCAGCAGUGGGGAAUAUUGCACAAUGGGCGAAAGCCUGAUGCAGCAACGCCGCGUGAGCGAAGGAGGCCCUACGGGUCGUAAAGCUCUGUCCUUGGGGAAGAAGGAAGUGACGGUACCCGAGGAGGAAGCCCCGGCUAACUACGUGCCAGCAGCCGCGGUAAUACGUAGGGGGCGAGCGUUAUCCGGAAUUAUUGGGCGUAAAGAGUGCGUAGGUGGCUUUGCAAGCGCAGGGUAUAAGGCAACGGCUCAACCGUUGUUUGCCUUGCGAACUGUAUGGCUUGAGUGCGGGAGAGGAAAGCGGAAUUCCCAGUGUAGCGGUGAAAUGCGUAGAUAUUGGGAGGAACACCGGUGGCGAAGGCGGCUUUCUGGACCGUAACUGACACUGAGGCACGAAAGCGUGGGGAGCAAACAGGAUUAGAUACCCUGGUAGUCCACGCCGUAAACGAUGAGCGCUAGGUGUCGGGGCCGCAAGGUUUCGGUGCCGCAGUUAACGC
rnacentral:rRNA from 1 species